rnacentral:rRNA from 1 species
CCUACGGGAGUCAGCAGUGGGGAAUAUUGGACAAUGGGCGAAAGCCUGAUCCAGCAAUUCCGCGUGUGUGAAGAAGGCCUUCGGGUUGUAAAGCACUUUAGUGGGGGAAGAAACAGCUUGGCCACACCAAGCCUUGACGGUACCCCAAGAAUAAGCACCGGCUAACUCUGUGCCAGCAGCCGCGGUAAUACAGAGGGUGCAAGCGUUAAUCGGAUUUACUGGGCGUAAAGGGUGCGUAGGUGGCUAUUUAAGUCGGAUGUGAAAGCCCGGGGCUCAACCUCGGAAUUGCAUUCGAUACUGAGUGGCUAGAGUUCGGUAGAGGGCGGCGGAAUUUCCGGUGUAGCGGUGAAAUGCGUAGAUAUCGGAAGGAACAUCAAUGGCGAAGGCAGCCGCCUGGGCCUGGACUGACACUGAGGCACGAAAGCGUGGGUAGCAAACAGGAUUAGAUACCCUGGUAGUCCACGCCGUAAACGAUGAGAACUUGACGUUGGUUCGUUUUACGAAUCGGUGUCGCAGCUAACGCGAUAAGUUCUCCGCCUGGGGAGUACGGCCGCAAGGUUGAAACUUAAAUGAAUUGACGG